GACGAAACGCUGGCGGCGUGGAUUAGGCAUGCAAGUCGAACGGUAUCAUCCUUUCGGGGGUGAGAGAGUGGCGAACUGGUGAGUAACACGUAGGUUAUCUACCCUCAAGACGGGGACAACCCAGGGAAACUUGGGCUAAUACCGGAUGUGAGCAACUUUUUAGUUGUUUGAAAGGUGGCGUAAGCUGUCGCUUGGGGAUGAGCCUGCGUCCUAUUAGUUAGUUGGUGAGGUAACGGCUCACCUAGGCAAUGAUAGGUAGGCGGCCUUAACGGGUGGUCGCCCACACUGGGAUUGAGAUACGGCCCAGACUCCUACGGGAGGCAGCAGUCGAGAAUAGUCUACAAUGGUCGGAAGACUGAUAGUGCGACGCCGCGUGAACGAUGAAUCCCUUCGGGGUGUAAAGUUUCUUUUAUACGUGAGCAGUGCCCUUUUAUAUGAAUAGUAUAGAGGGAGGGAUUUAAGCGUAUGAAUAAGCAACGGCUAACUCCGUG
rnacentral:rRNA from 1 species